rnacentral:rRNA from 1 species
ACGAACGCUGGCGGCGUGCUUAACACAUGCAAGUCGAGCGGAAAGGCCUGCUUUCCCUUGUGGAUUGCGGGUACUCGAGUGGCGAACGGGUGAGUAACACGUGAGUGAUCUGCCCCCAACUUGGGUAUAAGCCUGGGAAACUGGGUCUAAUUCCCGAUAGGACUGCAGGGUGGUGCCUGUGGUGGAAAACGAUUUUCUAGUGGUUGGGGAUGAGCUCGCGGCCUAUCAGCUUGUUGGUGGGGUAAUGGCCUACCAAGGCGGCGACGGGUAGCCGGCCUGAGAGGGUGGACGGGCACAUUGGGACUGAGAUACGGCCCAGACUCCUACGGGAGGCAGCAGUGGGGAAUAUUGCACAAUGGGCGGAAGCCUGAUGCAGCGACGCCGCGUGGGGGAUGACGGCCUUCGGGUUGUAAACUCCUUUCGACCGCGAGGAAGCCACCUGGUUGGAAGGGUGGUGACGGUAGUGGUAGAAGAAGCACCGGCUAACUACGUG